GAUGAACGCUAGCUACAGGCUUAACACAUGCAAGUCGAGGGGCAUCAUGGGAGUUGCUUGCAACUUCUGAUGGCGACCGGCGCACGGGUGAGUAACGCGUAUCCAACCUUCCCCUUAGUAGGGCAUAGCCCGGCGAAAGUCGGAUUAAUACCCUAUGUUUUCCGUCGAUGACAUCAGAAGUGGAAUAAAGAUUUAUCGCUAAGGGAUGGGGAUGCGUCUGAUUAGGUUGAUGGCGGGGUAACGGCCCACCAUGCCGACGAUCAGUAGGGGUUCUGAGAGGAAGGUCCCCCACAUUGGUACUGAGACACGGACCAAACUCC
rnacentral:rRNA from 1 species